rnacentral:rRNA from 1 species
GCCACCAUUUAAAGAGUGCGUAAUAGCUCACUAGUCGAGUGACUCUGCGCCGAAAAUGUACCGGGGCUAAAUACACCACCGAAGCUGCGGAUUGAUACCAAUGGUAUCAGUGGUAGGGGAGCGUUCUAAGGACAGUGAAGUCAGACCGUAAGGACUGGUGGAGUGCUUAGAAGUGAGAAUGCCGGUAUGAGUAGCGAAAGACGGGUGAGAAUCCCGUCCACCGAAUGCCUAAGGUUUCCUGAGGAAGGCUCGUCCGCUCAGGGUUAGUCAGGACCUAAGCCGAGGCCGACAGGCGUAGGCGAUGGACAACAGGUUGAUAUUCCUGUACCACCUCUUUAUCGUUUGAGCAAUGGAGGGACGCAGAAGGAUAGAAGAAGCGUGCGAUUGGUUGUGCACGUCCAAGCAGUUAGGCUGAUAAGUAGGCAAAUCCGCUUAUCGCGUAUGCUGAGCUGUGAUGGGGAAGCUCCUUAUGGAGCGAAGUCUUUGAUUCCCCGCUGCCAAGAAAAGCUUCUAGCGAGAUAAAAGGUGCCUGUACCGCAAACCGACACAGGUAGGCGAGGAGAGAAUCCUAAGGUGUGCGAGAGAACUCUGGUUAAGGAACUCGGCAAAAUGACCCCG